rnacentral:rRNA from 1 species
GACGAACGCUGGCGGCGUGCUUAACACAUGCCAGUCGAACGGAAAGGCCCUGCUUUUGUGGGGUGCUCGAGUGGCGAACGGGUGAGUAACACGUGAGUAACCUGCCCUUGACUUUGGGAUAACUUCAGGAAACUGGGGCUAAUACCUGAUAGGAGCUCCUGCUGCAUGGUGGGGGUUGGAAAUUUUCGGCGGUUGGGGAUGGACUCGCGGCUUAUCAGCUUGUUGGUGGGGUAGUGGCUUACCAAGGCUUUGACGGGUAGCCGGCCUGAGAGGGUGACCGGCCACAUUGGGACUGAGAUACGGCCCAGAGUCCUACGGGAGGCAGCAGUGGGGAAUAUUGCAAAAUGGGCGGAAGCCUGAUGCAGCAACGCCGCGUGCGGGAUGACGGCCUUCGGGUUGUAAACCGCUUUCGCCUGUGACGAAGCGUGAGUGACGGUAAUGGGUAAAGAAGCACCGGCUAACUACGUG